rnacentral:misc_RNA from 1 species
GAUGAAGAACGCAGCGAAAUGCGAUAAGUAAUGUGAAUUGCAGAAUUCAGUGAAUCAUCGAAUCUUUGAACGCACAUUGCGCCCGCCAGCAUUCUGGCGGGCAUGCCUGUUCGAGCGUCAUUUCAACCCCUCAGGCCCUGGUGCCUGGCGUCGGGGCUCUCCCUCGCGGGAGGCCCCCAGAGACAGUGGCGGACCCGCCGCGGCUCCGAGCGCAGUAGUAAAAUAUCUCGCUUAGGAGGCCCGCGGAGGAGCUUUCCGGCCGUAAAACCAGGUCUGCAAAGACCGACCCCACCCAGGUUGACCUCGGAUCAGGUAGGAAUACCCGCUGAACUUAAGCAUAUCAAUAAGCGGAGGA